GCUCCCGUAGCUCAGGUGGACAGAGCAUCUGCCUUCUAAGCAGAGGGUCGCAGGUUCGAGUCCUGCCGGGAGUG
rnacentral:tRNA from 1 species